GAGGGGGCGGGCGGAGUGUCGGGAAGCUAAGACCCUCCCCGGACGAAGGGACUGUCCAGGACAAGGUCGCUGCAGACCUCCAGACAGACCGACAGCGCCGACGGCCUGGCAGUCGACCCCUCCGGGGAGGAGCCACGCGGGCCGUCUUGAGCCGCUGCCGCCAGGGCAGCAGAAGCCGCCGAGCCGCGGGAGCUGCGAGGUGGUGGUGAAAUGGUGGAGUCAACGUGUUCGUCCUUAAACACCAGACCGUCUCCAGGCUUCUCCCGGAUUCCCGGGAGAAAAUGAGCCCAACGCAUGCUUUGGGGAGAUCGCAGCCCCGCGGGCGGCGCCCUCGGAGGCCGCGUGGGGCGCAGCAGCUCCCCCAGCCGGACGCUGGAGCUGCACGCCGGAACGCGCCGUCUCGCCGCCGGAGGUGCUAAACUUCACACUCGGCGGCUUCUCCGGCCGCGUCGGGAGGGCCUCGGCUCGGCUGCCGCUGCCGGUCAGGGAGCAGGGAGCGCGAAUUCGUGACGAGUGCUUAGCUCCUCGGCCAUUCCAUUCACCUCCCUUUCGUGCGGCCCCGCUGUGCCCUGCUCAGCUUCAACCUUUUCUUGACCCUUCCUACUCCCUCUUUCGAAGCCCUUCCCGGGACCCCACGAAGUCCUCUCGGGCCCCCAAGCCGACCUGGAUAUUCUCUUCGCCCCCUCUUUGUCUUCCCUGCCUCCCGCCGUGUUGGCCGCGGGCUGGGGGCGGGGGGUUGCUGCUGGAAACUGGACAUCCCGCCCUCGCCCCAACAAGGAGAGGGCUGAGGGUAAACUAGGAGCCUCCCAGGUUCCGGGGUGGGAUUGGAGAACCCUCUGGUAAGGUUCUUGAGCCCUAGGGCCCCAAGCUGGCUGCUCCUCUAUCCCCUUUCUCCUCUCCGCGCUCUCCCUGGCGGUCCUCUGCACCCAGUCGUCUCUCUCCUCCCUAUCCUUUCUCUUCCCAUUCCUCGCCUUCCUAAAUGCCCUAAGCCUCGCGGGGCGGGGCGGGGCGGGGCGGCGGGACACAGAGAGUGGGAGCGCGAGAUGCCCCUGCUCCGAUUCCGCCCCCUGCCGGCGACCCCCAGGGAGUCUGCACAUGAUGCAAUUCGGUGCAAAUGGAAACUGCAGUGGAUGCUUCCGUGGCCCCCGGCAGGGGUCCCUGGGCAGUGCACGCUGAGAAUGAGAGGCGAGGGAGCCGGCCGAGGCGGUAGGCCGCAGGCGAGGGGUCGCAGCCAGACCCUCGCGGCCCCGUCAAGCUCUCCACCCCGCCUCGGCCCGCCGCCGACACACCU